GCCUGGAUGGCUCAAUGGUUGAGUUUCUGCCUUUAACUCAGGUCCUGAUCCCAGGAUCCUGGGAUCAAGUCCCACAUCAGGCU
rnacentral:tRNA from 1 species